rnacentral:rRNA from 1 species
AUUGAACGCUGGCGGCAGGCCUAACACAUGCAAGUCGAGCGAGCGGCGGACGGGUGCGUAAUGUCUGGGAACCUGCCUGAUGGAGGGGGAUAACUACUGGAAACGGUAGCUAAUACCGCAUACCAUCGGAUGUGCCCAGAGGGGAUUAGCUAGUAGGUGGGGUAAAGGCUCACCUAGGCGACGAUCCCUAGCUGGUCUGAGAGGAUGACCAGCCACACUGGAACUGAGACACGGUCCAGACUCCUACGGGAGGCAGCAGUGGGGAAUAUUGCGCAAUGGGCGCAAGCCUGAUGCAGCCAUGCCGCGUGUGUGAAGAAGGCCUUCGGGUUGUAAAGCACUUUCAGCGAGGAGGCGUUACUCGCAGAGGAAGCACCGGCUAACUCCGUGCCAGCAGCCGCGGUAAUUC